rnacentral:lncRNA from 1 species
UGUCCACGAUCAUGAAAAUCAUCAUCCAUUCUAGGGACACGUUGAGGGUUGCACCUAUGGGGCUGGUUAUCCCUAUCUUCCUUAAUUGGAUCUCGAUAUUGAUGUUUUUGAUUCACUCGUACCUCAUUCAAAGUAGUAUUCAAUGCUUGAAGUGUAGCAUUUAUUUGUGUGAUUGCAGCAGUAUGUCCGUCUAACUGUUGUUGGACUUUCA